GGACUACCCGGGUAUCUAAUCCGUUUUGCUCCCCACGCUUUCGUGCCUCAAUGUCAGUAACAGAAUAGUUAACUGCCUUCGCCGUUAUUGGUGUUCUUCCAUAUAUCUACACAUUUUACCGUUCCACAUGGAGUUCCGUUAACCUCUCCUGCACUCGAGCCGGACAGUAUUACCAGUUUCCACGAGGUUAGGCCUCGAUUUGCCACUGCCAACUUGCCAGGCCAUCUACGCACCCUUUACGCCCAAUAAUUCCGGAUAACGUUCGCCACCUACGUCUUACCGCGGCGGCUGGCAC
rnacentral:rRNA from 1 species